rnacentral:rRNA from 2 species
ACAUACGACCACACCCACUGGAGAACUCGGGAUCCCGUCCGCUCUCCCAUAGAUAAGCCAGUGAGGGCCGGAUUAGUAGUUGGGUCGGUGACGACCAGCGAAUACCUGGUGUUGUAUGUG